CGGGGGGGGCAAGCGUUGGGUUCGGAAUUACUGGGCGUAAAGGGCUCGUAGGCGGCCAACUAAGUCCUACGUGAAAUCCCUCGGCUUAACCGGGGAACUGCGUCUGAUACUGGAUGGCUUGAGUUCGGGAGAGGGAUGCGGAAUUCCAGGUGUAGCGGUGAAAUGCGUAGAUAUCUGGAGGAACACCGGUGGCGAAGGCGGCAUCCUGGACCGAUACUGACGCUGAGGAGCGAAAGCCAGGGGAGCAAACGGGAUUAGAUACCCCGGUAGUCCUGGCCCUAAACGAUGAAUGCUUGGUGUGGCGGGUAUCGAUCCCUGCCGUGCCGAAGCUAACGCAUUAAGCAUUCCGCCUGGGGAGUACGGUCGCAAGGCUG
rnacentral:rRNA from 1 species